GGCUGGUCUGAUUGUAGUGUUUACAGGUAACGGAUCACAACCAGUUAAAUUUUGUUUCUUUUCCACUCCCACAGCUUCACUUGACUGGCCUUUU
rnacentral:Y_RNA from 1 species